rnacentral:rRNA from 1 species
UACGUAGGGGGCAAGCGUUGUCCGGAAUCAUUGGGCGUAAAGCGCGCGUAGGCGGCCCGGUAAGUCCGCUGUGAAAGUCAAAGGCUCAACCUUUGAAUGUCAGCGGAUACUGCCGGGCUAGAGUCCGGAAGAGGCGAGUGGAACUCCUGGUGUAGCGGUGAAAUGCGCAGAUAUCAGGAGGAACACCGGUGGCGAAGGCGGGUCUCUGGGCCGAUACUGACGCUGAGGAGCGAAAGCGUGGGGAGCGAACAGG